rnacentral:rRNA from 1 species
CAAUAGCGUAUACUAAUGUUGUUGCAGUUAAAAGCUCGUAGUCGGAUUUCAGUAGGCUCAGUUAAGUAUCCAUUGUGGUAUCUUUAUGGGCCUGCUUCUUUGACAGAAACUUCUAUGUUAUUCAUUUAGCGUGGGUAGCGACUGUCUCUUUUACUUUGAGAAAAUUAGAGUGUUCAAAGCAGGUAUUAGCCUGAAUAUUACUCUUGGAAUAAUGCUAUAAGACUUUGGUUCUAAUGUAUUGGUGAUUGGGACCAGAGUAAUGAUUGAUAGGGACGGUUGGGGUCUUACGUACUGCAAAGCGAGAGGUGAAAUUCUUGGACCUUUGUAUGACGAACAACUGCGAAAGCAUUGGACUAGGACGUUCCCGUUGAUCAAGAACGAAAGUUGGGGGAUCGAAGAUGAUCAGAU